UCUAAUGUCUUGGAGUUCUACUGUUUUUGGAGUUCUACCAUGGUCUAAGAUUUGGGAGGUCCCCGAACUGUCGUCUGCUAGGCCUGUUUUUGGCUGUUCGUCUGCUAUUUCUGCGGACAAAUUUUGGGGCACUCGCUAGGGGCGCUGACUGUCCGGAUCAGUCAUAACAUUUCCCUCCAAAACGUUGUUAACAACGAGAAAAGUAGUUGCUUGUCACAGUCUUCUUCUGGACUAAGCCACUCAAAGGUUACAGAAGAUGCCUAAUCGUUGUUUUGUGCCUAAUUGCAACUCGGGAUUCCCUGGGUCCACUACGACUGAAAAGGUGGCAUUUUUUUCAUCUCCAAGGGAUUCUAGCCUGCUUCAACGUUGGAAGCUGCGAGGGAAAAAAAUGUAGACAAAAAAGAAGAUUGCGACCUUCUCUAUGUCUUAUGACAACAUAUUUUUGUUGUUGUUUGUGAAACAAAAGGUAUUUUCCAUUUCUGGCUAAAGGCUAUGUUUAUAGAUGGCAGACACCUAGAAGCUAUUACCUUUUUGAAGACUUUUUAAGUCAGUAGACACAGCCCGGAGAUUUUAACUUUCUCCAACACUUUCUCCAAGACACCGCUGUCGGCGGAGAAUGUUUACUCUACGUGUUGUAGAAUACAGCAAAUAUUACCAUUCAUGCCUCAAGUCAACACCACGAAAGAAGCCAUUCAAUUAAUAAAUUGAUUCUUUGGAUGAUGCUUCAAAAGUGAUGAAUGGGGCCUGGGUGUAAUUGUAAACGUUUCAGUCCUUUUAUUAAUCAGUGGAACACGUUCCGUAGAUGAUUUCUUUUCUCUGGGGCAAUAAGAUAUAAUCUGUUUAACUUUUCCCUUCUAUGCGAACGAAAGAAAAAGAGAAAUGUUUCAGCAAGACGUGAAUGUUCCACGCUGCAUUACAGAGAUACAGUUACGAACAUCUGGUCAUCUUUGACGAUUUAUGAGUCGUUUCAUCCUGUUAUUACCUUGACCAAUGGAACUUUGAAUUAUUGCACCCCGCGCUUCGCUUCGCAGAUGUAAGACCCACAAUCUUGGGGUUUAAGUUGGCGAAUAGUGAGGUUCGCCGAGUGUGAAGCAACUGACGCAAUACAACGAGCAUCCUUCAAAGUUUAGAUAAAAUAGUUGUAAGUUAAUCUAAAACAAUUGGAAAAUCUCAUACUUCAUACCAUGUAAAAAAGGGAAAAACAUUCGCCACCCCUAACCUUAAGCUGCGCAAACUGUCUAAAAUGGUAAAUUAAUUUGUAUUAAUGUAUAUUAAUGUUUGAAAUACAAAGAGGAAUUGAUUCAA